AUUGAACGCUGGCGGCAUGCCUUACACAUGCAAGUCGAACGGCAGCACGGGUGCUUGCACCUGGUGGCGAGUGGCGAACGGGUGAGUAAUACAUCGGAACAUGUCCUGUAGUGGGGGAUAGCCCGGCGAAAGCCGGAUUAAUACCGCAUACGAUCUACGGCUGAAAGCGGGGGACCUUCGGGCCUCGCGCUAUAGGGUUGGCCGAUAGCUGAUUAGCUAGUUGGUGGGGUAAAGGCCUACCAAGGCGACGAUCAGUAGCUGGUCUGAGAGGACGACCAGCCACACUGGGACUGAGACACGGCCCAGACUCCUACGGGAGGCAGCAGUGGGGAAUUUUGGACAAUGGGCGAAAGCCUGAUCCAGCAAUGCCGCGUGUGUGAAGAAGGCCUUCGGGUUGUAAAGCACUUUUGUCCGGAAAGAAAUCCUUGGCUCUAAUACAGUCGGGGGAUGACGGUACCGGAAGAAUAAGCACCGGCUAACUACGUG
rnacentral:rRNA from 1 species